rnacentral:SRP_RNA from 1 species
AGCCAGGAGCCAUGCGAGCGGCCGCCGCCUAACUCCGCCAGGUUCGGAAGGAAGCAACGGUAAGCGGUUGACCGCUGCGCCGUGGAUUUCCUGGCUGCG